rfam:Phytophthora sojae unplaced genomic scaffold PHYSOscaffold_16, whole genome shotgun sequence.
GGACCUUCUCGGCCUUUUGGCUAAGAUCAAGUGUAGUAUCUGUUCUAAUCAGCGUGAAAACUGGUUUCCCUGCUUUUGGUGGGGUCUUGUUCACAUUCAUUUUUGCAAUUCCCAUAAGUACUUAGCUUGCUAGGUGUUUACGGGACGGGCACGCUCCACGAGCACUUCACGGCGGUGAACUCGCCCCGCA